rnacentral:rRNA from 1 species
CACGUAGGGUGCGAGCGUUGUCCGGAAUUAUUGGGCGUAAAGGGCUCGUAGGCGGUCUGUCACGUCGGGAGUGAAAACACGGGGCUUAACCCCGUGCCUGCUUCCGAUACGGGCAGACUAGAGGUAUGCAGGGGAGAACGGAAUUCCUGGUGUAGCGGUGAAAUGCGCAGAUAUCAGGAGGAACACCGGUGGCGAAGGCGGUUCUCUGGGCAUUACCUGACGCUGAGGAGCGAAAGUGUGGGGAGCGAACAGG